AAACAUAUUACUCUUAAUUCAUAAAAUAAAAUAUAUCUCAUUGAAUCUAAACAAUCCAAAGGAAGUACUAAUCCAAAAUAUUAAUGUCAGAACUUCUAAAAUAAACUUAUAGUGAUUGAACUGAUAUAACUAAUCCUAUCAAAUAAUAUCUUCAAAUAGUUUCGGCAACUUUUCAUCAUAUUGAAAUCUUCCACAUGCGAAAUUUUUGAACAUAUCACCUGAAAAAAAUAAAAUAAACAUGUCAAAAUAUGGAAUGUAAUGUAUAAAACAUCAUGACUACACAUAUAAAUAUAAUGUGAAUUCUAAUAACAAUGUGAAAAAUGAGGCUGCAUGCGAACUAGGGUACCAAAUUCAUCAUGGUUGAAGAUAUUGAAGUGUAGUUUCUAAUAAGAUAAAUCGUUCUUAAGUUGAAGCUCCCUACAUCAAGUUGUAGUAUUGGAAUACACCCAAAAUAUUUUGUCUAAGAAAGAAUAAAGGAUGACAAAAGAAAGAUAAAAGAGUUAGCUAAUGUAGCAAAUGAAACUUGUAGUAUUAGAAUACAACUUAGAUAUAACAUUGUGGGAAAAAAAAUAAAGAUCUAACAUUUGGCAAGAAUUCAAGAUGCUACCAUUUCAUAUAAGUAAUACUUAUCUAGCAUAGGUAUACAUAUUUUGUUGGUUAUAUACUUUUGAAGCGAAUAGUGUGAGUAUUGUUAAUCUCAUCUUUUUGAUAUAAUUUGCACAAUUCCAUGUUACAAGUAUGGAAAAUGAGUGCAUUAACAUGAGGAAGAAGAUGGUGAAUUUGCAAAUCGGCUUAUAAGAAAAUCGUUUCAAUGGAUUCAGCAAAGGACAACUUUAUUUAGCAGUUCAAGAGAUUAUACAGCAGCAGAGGCAAGUUACUUAUGAAAGUCCCUCAGAAACUAGUAGAGCACAGUAAAAAGAUCAUUUUAUGGACAUAGAAUGGAAGAGUUUUCGGCUAAAAACAUCCUUAAAACUAUGAUCCAAACAUAUAUAAUAUUCUUCUAUUAUUAUAGUAGACAAAAAACGUCCCUUAAAUAAUUUCAAAUUGCAACAAUCAGCCUUCUAUUUUCUGUCUAGAAACUAACAACAUAAACUUGUCAAAUAUAUUUGUUGCUAUUCAUUAAUAGUUCAAAAAGUUGGUUGUUGGUCAAGCAGAUCAGAACAUAGUAUAGACAAAUACACUCAACGAAAAGAAGAAGAAAAGUCAGAGAAACAUUUUAAGCUUUUCAGAAAAACCCUAAAUCGGAAAGAAGUGAUUUUUGAAAUAAAAAUUAGGAAAACAUUUAAAAAACUCAAGUAGAUCACAAAUAUAGAACAGAUUUAAGAAAACAAUCAGAGAAAACCUCGAAUAACUAGGGUUUCAGAGGAACCCUAAAGCGACAAAGGCUUGGAAAAGGUCCGAUCUGAGUCGGAUAAGUCAGAAAUAGGCUCAUAAUGCUUGGAUAUGCCGGAGCAAGGCCGGAGAGGCCAUAGAACCUCGAAUUAGAGAGGAUCUGAACGGACACCAUUGAGGUCAGACCUCAAAACUUCGAACACCAAGUAUUUAAGAGCAGAGGGAGAUGAUUUUAAGCCAUCCAUGGCCUGAGAGGCCAUG
rnacentral:lncRNA from 1 species